rnacentral:rRNA from 1 species
GAUGAACGCUGGCGGCGUGCCUAAUACAUGCAAGUCGAGCGAACAGAUGAGGCGUUUGCUCCUCUGACGUUUGCCGCGGACGGGUGAGUCACACGUGGAUCACCUACCUAUAUGACUGGUAUAAUUUGGGGAAUCCGGCGCUAAUCCCGGAUAAUCUAUUGAACCGUAUUGUUCAUUAGUGAAAGACGGUUUUUCUGUCACUUCUAGCUGGAUACGCGCCGCAUUAGGUAGUUGUUAAGGUAACGGAUUACCACGGCGACGCUGCGUAGCCGACCUGAGCGGGUGGUCAGCCGCACUGGAACUGAGACACGGUACAGACUCAUACGGGAGGCAGCAGUAGGGAAUCGGCCGCAAGGGGCGAAGACCAUACGGAGCAACGCCGCGUGAGUGAUGAGCAUCUUCGGAUCGGAGAUCACGGUUAUUGGGGUAGAACAAAUUUUUACGUAACUAGGCGCGUCUGUAAGGGAAAUGAGCAGAGAGACACGGCUAACUACGGU